UAUUGAGUUGGCCAAAAGGUUUGUUUGGGUUUUUCCUUAGAAUGUUAUAGGAAAAUCCAAAUGAACUUUUUGGCUAAUCCAAU
rnacentral:miRNA from 1 species